rnacentral:tRNA from 1 species
GGCGGGGUAGCUCAGUGGUAGAGCGAGGGUCUCAUAAUCCCUAGGCCGAGAGUUCGAUUCUCUCCCCCGCUACCA